UUCACAGUUUGCUUUAUUUUGACAGGGAUGCCAAGGAUGAGCCUCAGAGGAGAUCUGCACGGUUAUCAGCAAGACCAGCUUAUGUGAAGGCUGAACCCAAACCAAAAAAGACAACUAAGAAAGACAAAGCAGCUAAUGUCAAAAAGGAGGAUAAAAAGACCAAGGUGAAGGCCAAGGAGAGCUCGGAGUCUGCAGCCAGCGAGGAGAACCACUCCGAAAAUUGAGAGGCCAAGACCAACGCGGUCACAAAGACUCAAAAAGCAACGAAGGAAGUGAAAUCUGAGUAGCACUAUUGCCUCCCAUCAACAGUCAUCACAGCUCCCCAUCACUCCUAGUGUUGUGUCAUUGCCCAACCUCCAAGGCAUAUUGUUCACAGAGAAAUAUUUUUAUCAAUGGUUUUAUAAGUA